rnacentral:rRNA from 1 species
GAUGAACGCUGGCGGCGUGCUUAACACAUGCAAGUCGAGCGAAGCACUUAAGUUUGAUUCUUCGGAUGAAGACUUUUGUGACUGAGCGGCGACGGGUGAAGGUACUGUAUCGGAACGUGCCCAGUAGCGGGGGAUAACUACGCGAAAGCGUAGCUAAUACCGCAUACGCCCUACGGGGGAAAGGAGGGGAUCUGCAAGGACCUUUCACUAUUGGAGCGGCCGAUAUCGGAUUAGCUAGUUGGUGAGGUAACGGCUCACCAAGGCGACGAUCCGUAGCUGGUUUGAGAGGACGACCAGCCACACUGGGACUGAGACACGGCCCAG